rnacentral:rRNA from 1 species
UACAGAGGUGGCAAGCGUUGUUCGGAAUUACUGGGCGUAAAGAGCUCGUAGGCGGUCUGUCGCGUCUGCUGUGAAAACUCGGGGCUUAACCCCGGGCCUGCAGUGGGUACGGGCAGACUAGAGUGCGGUAGGGGAGACUGGAAUUCCUGGUGUAGCGGUGAAAUGCGCAGAUAUCAGGAGGAACACCGGUGGCGAAGGCGGGUCUCUGGGCCGUAACUGACGCUGAGGAGCGAAAGCAUGGGGAGCGAACAGG